rnacentral:lncRNA from 1 species
UUUCUCUCCCACAUUAAUUAGGAGCGUACUCCCCAGUGUGGAAAAACAAGAGAACGUGACUGUCUCAUGGUGAGCGCCUGCUGGGGCCUUAUCCAGGCUAUGGCGGUCUCCGUGGGCGUCCAGGGAGAGCAAGGAUGCUGACAUGGAACGUGCCUCCAGAGCUCGUUGCCAUCGGCUCGCCAGCCAGGAACACCUUUUUACUUUGGUAGGUAUGCAGAGGGAAGGGCCUUGACUCUGGAGACUUGGGGACCAAAGUUAGAGCGGAGGUAGUUCUGUCACUCCCCUUAGACAGAGCCACAGAAUGCCAGGUGGCACUAAGGUCCUUGCUCUCACAAGUAAGCACUGUCCGGGGAACCAGCAAUAUUAAACACGCAGGGUUGUCUCUUCAAAGGGAGAGAUAGAUAUCCUGUUUUUCCUCCCAGAAGGCUGGGAGCGGAGGUGUUUAAUAUCCUGGCGAACUUUGUGCUAUCUGUAUGACCAAGGCCAUGCUAGAUCCUCCCCUAAGAUUAUAUAUGAAUCUUAAGAUGUCAUAUAUAAUCAAUAUACCUAGUCGGCUAGGUAGUGGUGGUGCAUGCCUUUACUCCCAGUAUUCUGGUAGCAAAGGCAGGCGGGUCUCUGCAUUCCUCCCCUAAACCCUUAAGAUGUCAUAUGUAAUCAGUCAUCUGGGUGGUGGUGGUGCAUGCCUUUACUUCCAGGACUUGGGUGGCAAAGACGGGUGGAUCUCUGAGUUCGAGGCUCGCCUGGUC